rnacentral:lncRNA from 7 species
AUACGCUUCUGAUCCGUACAAGUUUCCACAAAAGUUGGUGUGAUUAUGGUUGGGCGGGAAAGUUGGAAGAACAAAUCGCUAGGGCAACAAGAAGAGAUGACGUCAAAAACACUAAAGUAAGAGUUUGAUUGGUUGCUUUGCUAUGGCCUAUGUGAAAAAAAAUAGCGACCUGCGACGUGCGAUCGCAUGCACACACAUAUUAUUAACAAAAAAAAUCUUAAUUGAAUUUAUUCAUAUUCAUGUUUUCGUGUCAUACGCGCCAAACACGGGUCAGUGACUAUUUCAUUAAAAUUCAAUACCGACCUAUAAAUAUAUAACUGACAUUGAUGUGAUUUGGCAACUCAACGAUAUGAUGAUGUCCUAUGACCAUCAGUCUAGCGGUUGACAAAAUUUAUGAAGCAAAAGGGACUUGAAGGGCUAAAGUCCAAACUUUUGCGGCUUCAUUUCAUUAAUUUCCACCCCACGCCUCUACGUGGAGUUAAUAUUAACGCUUGCGUCCUGGGUCGUUUCAUUUAAAUUGAGUGUUCCUGCAGCAGACCCUAAGAGCAUAUCCAAGAGACUAGCUAAGGGGGUGUUUAGUAGUAAAGUUUUUUCACAGUUUUGGAAGAAUACUGCAGUAUUCUCAAAUACUGCAGUAUUAUAUACAGAAUGGUGUUUGGCAAGCUGGCUAAAAUCUCUGUUUUCAAAACUGAAGUAUUGGAAAUACUAUAGUUGUUUUAAGGUAUUCUAAACUUAGGUCUGGACCUCAGUUUCCAAAAUUGUGGUAUUGUAAACUGCGGUAUUGUUAUGACUAAAGUAUACUGUAGUUUUCAAAAACUGUGGUUUUCAAAAACUUUGUUCCCAAACAGGGCCUAAAUAGUUUGUCAAGCUAAAUUUUAGCUAUUUAAUAACGAAAUAGCUCUCCAACAGACUAGCCAUUUAAAUUGUCAAAUUAUCCGGCUCUCUAAAUUGACUCUCUUACUAGCCAAAUUUGGCUAGCAACUUUCGCUAGCCAAGCUAAAUUGAAUGUUAGAGAAUCUGUUGGAAUGAGAUGUUAUAUAUAUAGUUUAAUUUUUAUGGAGAGACAAAUACAGAGUCAAAUAAAGAGUCAAAAGUAAAAAGUUUCUUGGAGAUGCUCUAAAUUCAAUAUACAUGCCAUGUCACACAAACUAUCAAGUGCUGCUCUAGGUAUAAUUUAUCCACGGAGAACUUCACAGUGCCUUUGUUUUAAUAAUU